UACAGAGGUCUCGAGCGUUAGGCGGAAUCACUGGGCUUAAAGCGUGUGUAGGUGGAUGCCUAAGUACCUUGUGAAAUCCCCACGGCUUAACCGUGGAACUGCUUGGUAUACUGGGUGUUCUGAGUCACUCAGGGGCGAGCGGAACAAAUGGUGGAGCGGUGAAAUGCGUAGAUAUCAUUUGGAACGCCAAUGGUGAAAACAGCUCGCUGGGGGUGCACUGACACUGAGACACGAAAGCCAGGGGAGCGAACGGG
rnacentral:rRNA from 1 species